rnacentral:rRNA from 1 species
AGAGUUUGAUCCUGGCUCAGGACGAACGCUGGCGGCGUGCUUAACACAUGCAAGUCGAACGGAAAGGCCCUUUCGGGGGUACUCGAGUGGCGAACGGGUGAGUAACACGUGGGUGAUCUGCCCUGCACUUCGGGAUAAGCUUGGGAAACUGGGUCUAAUACCGGAUAGGACUACGGCCUGCAUGGGUUGUGGUGGAAAGCUUUUGCGGUGUGGGAUGGGCCCGCGGCCUAUCAGCUUGUUGGUGGGGUGAUGGCCUACCAAGGCGACGACGGGUAGCCGGCCUGAGAGGGUGUCCGGCCACACUGGGACUGAGAUACGGCCCAGACUCCUACGGGAGGCAGCAGUGGGGAAUAUUGCACAAUGGGCGCAAGCCUGAUGCAGCGACGCCGCGUGGGGGAUGACGGCCUUCGGGUUGUAAACCUCUUUC